rnacentral:rRNA from 1 species
CCUACGGGUGGCAGCAGUGGGGAAUUUUGGACAAUGGGCGAAAGCCUGAUCCAGCAAUGCCGCGUGUGGGAAGAAGGCCUUCGGGUUGUAAACCACUUUUGUACGGAACGAAACGGUUCGCUUUAAUACAGUGGGCUAAUGACGGUACCGUAAGAAUAAGCACCGGCUAACUACGUGCCAGCAGCCGCGGUAAUACGUAGGGUGCGAGCGUUAAUCGGAAUUACUGGGCGUAAAGCGUGCGCAGGCGGUUAUAUAAGACAGUUGUGAAAUCCCCGGGCUCAACCUGGGAAUUGCAUCUGUGACUGUAUAGCUAGAGUACGGUAGAGGGGGAUGGAAUUCCGCGUGUAGCAGUGAAAUGCGUAGAUAUGCGGAGGAACACCGAUGGCGAAGGCAAUCCCCUGGACCUGUACUGACGCUCAUGCACGAAAGCGUGGGGAGCAAACAGGAUUAGAUACCCAAGUAGUC